AGCCAUUCAUUUAAAGAGUGCGUAACAGCUCACUGGUCGAGGGUUCGGGCACGGAAAAUGAUCGGGCAUCAAACAUGGCGCCGAAAUUGUAGAAUAAGCAGCAAUGCUAAUUGGUAGGGGAGCAUUCUGACCAGCGUUGAAGGUGUACUGUGAGGUAUGCUGGAGCGGUCAGAAAAGAAAAUGUAGGAAUGAGUAACGAUAAACAAGAUGAAAAAUCUUGUCGCCGAAAGACUAAGGGUUCCUGAUCAACGUUAAUCGGAUCAGGGUUAGUCGGGUACUUAGGCGAAGCCGAAAGGUGCAGCUGAU
rnacentral:rRNA from 1 species